rnacentral:rRNA from 1 species
CAACCUAAACAUGCAAGUCGAGCGGACAGAAGGGAGCUUGCUCCCGGAUGUUAGCGGCGGACGGGGGAGUAACACGUGGGUAACCUGCCUGUAAGACUGGGAUAACUCCGGGAAACCGGAGCUAAUACCGGAUAGUUCCUUGAACCGCAUGGUUCAAGGAUGAAAGACGGUUUCGGCUGUCACUUACAGAUGGACCCGCGGCGCAUUAGCUAGUUGGUGAGGUAACGGCUCACCAAGGCGACGAUGCGUAGCCGACCUGAGAGGGUGAUCGGCCACACUGGGACUGAGACACGGCCCAGACUCCUACGGGAGGCAGCAGUAGGGAAUCUUCCGCAAUGGACGAAAGUCUGACGGAGCAACGCCGCGUGAGUGAUGAAGGUUUUCGGAUCGUAAAGCUCUGUUGUUAGGGAAGAACAAGUGCAAGAGUAACUGCUUGCACCUUGACGGUACCUAACCAGAAAGCCACGGCUAACUACGUGCCAGCAGCCGCGGUAAUACGUAGGUGGCAAGCGUUGUCCGGAAUUAUUGGGCGUAAAGGGCUCGCAGGCGGUUUCUUAAGUCUGAUGUGAAAGCCCCCGGCUCAACCGGGGAGGGUCAUUGGAAACUGGGAAACUUGAGUGCAGAAGAGGAGAGUGGAAUUCCACGUGUAGCGGUGAAAUGCGUAGAGAUGUGGAGGAACACCAGUGGCGAAGGCGACUCUCUGGUCUGUAACUGACGCUGAGGAGCGAAAGCGUGGGGAGCGAACAGGAUUAGAUACCCUGGUAGUCCACGCCGUAAACGAUGAGUGCUAAGUGUUAGGGGGUUUCCGCCCCUUAGUGCUGCAGCUAACGCAUUAAGCACUCCGCCUGGGGAGUACGGUCGCAAGACUGAAACUCAAAGGAAUUGACGGGGCCCGCACAA